AUCAUCUUCGACGGUCCUGCCACUUUCCUCACACUCAUCGCCAUGCCGUUCGAGGAGAAAGCCGGAGCGCCAUUGCUUGGUGCCCGCACACCAUCAUCAAGUCCGUUCGGGAAGACUUCACCUCGUCUAGGCGGAAUCGUCAUCAAGUUCUUCCAUGACGCCUGCACUUCGCCAAGCCGGAGUUGUCGUGCCGUCCAUCCGUGACAUCUCUCUCUCUACACCACAUGAUGAGACGCUAUCUGUCUACAAUGCUUUCACUUCAUCACGCCAAGAUGAGAUGCCAUCCGUCUGUUGUGCUCUCUCCUCUUAAUCACGAUCGAUGUUGUCCGUCCGUGAUUCCCUCCCUCUUCGUUGGGAUCGAGAUGUCGCCGCUUGUCCGUGUAUUGGAGCGUCGCUAGUCUACAUCAGCAUAAAGUAAGAAUGGUGUCAUCUGUGAUGCCAGGGAACCAUUCAUGCUUAAUCUACACCAACAAAUGCCCUCAACGGUUCCGCUGACGAGGCAUUUACUUCUUCCAAGGUCGCCGUCGUUACCGGCGCCCUCAUAGAGCCCCUUUUACGGGCUCGUUAUCAUAUCAACUGGAUCAAUAGUAGACCCAUCAUCUAAAGGAGGUGCUAAGCCAUGUUUAUCCGGCUGUUGUCUGCACCGACUUCUUCAUCAACAUUUUCAUUACAAGUCCCUGCCGUAUAAGGGGCAUGAUGGGUCAGGAGGUGCCCAGCCAUGUUUAUUCCGGCUGCCAUCUACACCAACCGUCUUUGUCAACUCUUCGUCACUUUGAUCUCACCUAGCCAGGAGGUGCCCAGCCAUGUAUAUUCGGCUGUCGCGUACACCAACUGAUGUCAUCAACUCUUCUUCCCUUUAAUACUAUCCCGAUGUCGCUGCUGUGACUUCUCUACCGUCCAAGCUACGCGAGUUCCAUGCAUGCUGAAGAUCAAUCUAUCUACACCACCACGUCGCUCAAGACUGAUGAGGCGGAGCGACGAGGGCGGGCGAAGCCGACGCUAAGGCUACGUCACCAACACCGGCGCACGGACCGACGAGGCCGUGGAUCGCUGCCGGCACCCACAUUUACAUCACCAUCACAACCAUGCAUGUUGAAUGCGAAGCAAAGACAAUGAGACGACCACUAGCAGCUUAAUCGGAGGUUCUCUGCAGGCCUAAACCUGCAGAGGUAAUUAACCAGGAGCUUCUCGAGGCCCUGGGAAUCAGAAGACCACAUCGCUGAUGUCAAGAUUUGUCCAACGACAGGCAAUGGCGCGCGCAUUUUAUAUUAUACAUGGAAAAUGUAUGUUGUUAAUUCAAUUAAUAAAGAUCAUGUGUUUCU
rnacentral:sRNA from 1 species